CGGCGGACGGGUGAGUAACGCGUGGGUAACCUGCCUCAUACAGGGGGAUAACAGUUGGAAACGGCUGCUAAUACCGCAUAAGCGCACAGUACCGCAUGGUACCGUGUGAAAAACUCCGGUGGUAUGAGAUGGACCCGCGUCUGAUUAGCUAGUUGGUGGGGUAACGGCCUACCAAGGCGGCGAUCAGUAGCCGACCUGAGAGGGUGACCGGCCACAUUGGGACUGAGACACGGCCCAAACUCCUACGGGAGGCAGCAUG
rnacentral:rRNA from 1 species